GACGAACUUUGGCGGCGUGCUUAACACAUGCAAGUCGAACGGAAAGGCCCUGCUUUUGUGGGGUGCUCGAGUGGCGAACGGGUGAGUAACACGUGAGUAACCUGCCCUUGACUUUGGGAUAACUUCAGGAAACUGGGGCUAAUACCGGAUAGGAGCUCCUGCUGCAUGGUGGGGGUUGGAAAGUUUCGGCGGUUGGGGAUGGACUCGCGGCUUAUCAGCUUGUUGGUGGGGUAGUGGCUUACCAAGGCUUUGACGGGUAGCCGGCCUGAGAGGGUGACCGGCCACAUUGGGACUGAGAUACGGCCCAGACUCCUACGGGAGGCAGCAGUGGGGAAUAUUGCACAAUGGGCGGAAGCCUGAUGCAGCAACGCCGCGUGCGGGAUGACGGCCUUCGGGUUGUAAACCGCUUUCGCCUGUGACGAAGCGUGAGUGACGGUAAUGGGUAAAGAAGCACCGGCUAACUACGUGCCAGCAGCCGCGGUGAUACGUAGGGUGCGAGCGUUGUCCGGAUUUAUUGGGCGUAAAGGGCUCGUAGGUGGUUGAUCGCGUCGGAAGUGUAAUCUUGGGGCUUAACCCUGAGCGUGCUUUCGAUACGGGUUGACUUGAGGAAGGUAGGGGAGAAUGGAAUUCCUGGUGGAGCGGUGGAAUGCGCAGAUAUCAGGAGGAACACUAGUGGCGAAGGCGGUUCUCUGGGCCUUUCCUGACGCUGAGGAGCGAAAGCGUGGGGAGCGAACAGGCUUAGAUACCCUGGUAGUCCACGCUGUAAACGGUGGGUACUAGGUGUGGGGUCCAUUCCACGGGUUCCGUGCCGUAGCUAACGCUUUAAGUACCCCGCCUGGGGAGUACGGCCGCAAGGCUAAAAUUCAAAGGAAUUGACGGGGCCCCGCACAAGCGGCGGAGCAUGCGGAUUAAUUCGAUGCAACGCGUAGAACCUUACCUGGGUUUGACAUGGAUCGGGAGUGCUCAGAGAUGGGUGUGCCUCUUUUGGGGUCGGUUCACAGGUGGUGCAUGGCUGUCGUCAGCUCGUGUCGUGAGAUGUUGGGUUAAGUCCCGCAACGAGCGCAACCCUUGUUCACUGUUGCCAGCACGUUAUGGUGGGGACUCAGUGGAGACCGCCGGGGUCAACUCGGAGGAAGGUGGGGAUGACGUCAAGUCAUCAUGCCCCUUAUGUCCAGGGCUUCACGCAUGCUACAAUGGCUGGUACAGAGAGUGGCGAGCCUGUGAGGGUGAGCGAAUCUCGGAAAGCCGGUCUCAGUUCGGAUUGGGGUCUGCAACUCGACCUCAUGAAGUCGGAGUCGCUAGUAAUCGCAGAUCAGCAACGCUGCGGUGAAUACGUUCCCGGGGCU
rnacentral:rRNA from 1 species